UCCUGCCAGUAGUCAUAUGCUUGUCUCAAAGAUUAAGCCAUGCAUGUCUAAGUACAGGCCUAAAUAAGGCGAAACCGCGAAUGGCUCAUUAAAUCAGUUAUGGUUCAUUGGAUCUUACCCAUCUUACUUGGAUACCUGUGGUAAUUCUAGAGCUAAUACAUGCAACUCAGCUCGGACCGCAAGGGACGAGCGCUUUUAUUAGAUCAAAACCAAUCGGGCCUCGGUCCGCAAAACCCAGUGGUGACUCUGAAUAUCUUUGUGCUGAGCGCACGGUCCUAGCACCGGCGCCGUGUCUUUCAAGUGUCUGCCUUAUCAGCUGUCGAUUGUAGGUUAUGCGCCUACAAUGGCUAUAACGGGUAACGGGGAAUCAGGGUUCGAUUCCGGAGAGGGAGCCUGAGAAACGGCUACCACAUCUAAGGAAGGCAGCAGGCACGCAAAUUACCCACUCCCGGCACGGGGAGGUAGUGACGAAAAAUAACGAUGCGAGACUCAUCCGAGGCCUCGCAAUCGGAAUGAGUACACUUUAAAUCCUUUAACGAGGAUCUAUUGGAGGGCAAGUCUGGUGCCAGCAGCCGCGGUAAUUCCAGCUCCAAUAGCGUAUAUUAAAGUUGUUGUGGUUAAAAAGCUCGUAGUUGGAUCUCAGUUCCUGACCGACGGUUCACCGCCCGGUGCUUACUGUCGGCUCAGAACAGCCUAAUAUGCAGUCGGCUCGGUCGGGGUUGCUCUUCAUCGAGUGUCCCGAGCGGCCGGCACGUUUACUUUGAAAAAAUUAGAGUGCUCAGAGCAGGCCUUAAACCGCCUGGAUACUUGUGCAUGGAAUGAUGGAAUAGGACCUCGGUUCUAUUUUGUUGGUUUUCGGAACCCGAGGUAAUGAUUAAGAGGGACAGACGGGGGCAUCAGUAUUGCGACGCUAGAGGUGAAAUUCUUGGACCGUCGCAAGACUAACGACUGCGAAAGCAUUUUGCCAAGAAUGUCUUCAUUAAUCAAGAACGAAAGUUAGAGGUUCGAAGGCGAUCAGAUACCGCCCUAGUUCUAACCAUAAACGAUGCUGACCAGCGAUCCGCCGUCGUUAUUCCCAUGACGCGGCGGGCAGCUUCCGGGAAACCAAAGUCUUUGAGUUCCAGGGGAAGUAUGGUUGCAAAGCUGAAACUUAAAGGAAUUGACGGAAGGGCACCACCAGGAGUGGAGCCUGCGGCUUAAUUUGACUCAACACGGGGAACCUCACCAGGCCCGGACACCGAAAGGAUUGACAGACCGAGAGCUCUUUUAUGAUUCGGUGGGUGGUGGUGCAUGGCCGUUCUUAGUUGGUGGAGCGAUUUGUC
rnacentral:rRNA from 1 species